rnacentral:misc_RNA from 1 species
UGUUGUAAAUUUUGACACUAGAUGGCGUUCAGUAUUGUUAUAAACAAAAUGUCCGAAAGUGUUGCUUUAUCUGUGUUUCGAGUGUUUUUGUUUUUAUCGGUUUUUACGAACCAAAUUCAACCUUAAUUUGAUAUGCAAGCAAAUAUUGUGUCUGACCGUCUGUUAUGUUGUCCCAUCUGGCAUUGGCAUUCCUAGUUUUAACAACGAGUUCCUGAAUAUUUCAUUUUUCAUAUUAGCCACAACUUCAGCUACCGAUCAUCAACUGAAUGACCAAUUUUCUUUACAGGCACCAGUAUUUAUGAAUUUUUUCUUUGCAUUAAAAGGCAUGGUCAAUGCUCCAGUAGAGAGCAGUACGGAGGACUGUUUUGGUUUUCAUAUCUUACAGUCUGUGAUCAUUAUUAGUUAUUACAUACUGCCUUCGCUAACUAGCAUUACAAUGUGGGCUGCAAUGGAGUUGGGAGUGGAUUCAGCCAAACUCUCGUCUAUGCGAUAUACUAUUACUUUACAUUUCCAACGGUUUCCACUUCUGAUAGAAAUUAUACAACAAACUUCCAACUACAGUUAGAGGACAUUUGAUUCGUUUGAUGUUGUCGCAAGUUGUUUUUCGAUGGGGCCGUUUUGAGGUCACAGAACGAACAUUAAUUUGGAUUGCCCCCUCACUUUAUAAACGGAAACAGUCCUCCAACGUUUCAUGCUCCGCUUCGAUCAACUUCAACUCGACUGCAACGAUCAUCUCUUCAUCUACGACGGAGCUCACGCCAACGGCAUUUACAAGGCCGACCUGUCGGGCCGUCACACGUGUCAAAGCGUCGGCACAAUAACCACACGAACCAAUUUUGUCACGCUCAAAUACGUCACAGAUGCUUGGGGCACUGAGACCAGCGGAUUUCAUCUUGUCACCGCAUUCAAAGAUAAAAGAUUUCUGCAUUUCCACCGAUUUGCUCUGCGAUGGCGUCGGAUGGCGUCAAUCACUUCGGCGAUAACACGGACGAAACGUCACUCUGCGCAGACAGCGAUCAACAUUUCAAGAUCCUCGGACUGAAUGUGCCGGUCUUUAGAGCAGUGGCCGGAAGUAUCGGUGUUGUCAUUCUCUGCGCAGUGACGGCCAUUAUCGUCGUCUGCUGCUGUCGGAGGAAGAAACCGCCUACAACUUCUGCUGGAGCAGCAGCAGCAAGUGGCAAUAAAGGUCGACUUGUCGACGAUGGCAACCAGCAGCAAAAACGCAUUGCCAAUUUGUUGUCCAGCUGUGUCCAACGAUUCUGCUGUCGAAAUGCGGAUGGGCUCCCGCGCGCUCCCGCCAAACGAAUUUUCUCUGCUCAAAAUUUAAUGAGCCCUGCUCUCCUCCUCUUUCCCCAUGUCUACUAAGAGGGCGAGGCGGCUCGAACCUCUCGUGCUUCACGUGAAAACAUCAACAGCCGUGAGCGGAGUAAAGAAACGAAGGAGAACGAGAGCACUCGCUAGACGCAACCAACGCCAGCGACAACGCCACGUCCGGCCAGAGCGCGAAGUGCUGACAUGCGUAAAGACAACAAUAACGCCGCCACACACAAGUCGAGUCCCGAAGGUGCUCCGUCGCAGCCGAGCCACACCAAACGGCCAAACAGGGACGCCGGCAGACAUCCGUCGUCGGCGGCCAGAGAGACUAAAACGCCCGUCAAAGCCACGGCUGAGGCCCCCAAGAGCGCCAAAGGAGUCAAGACGGAAGAAGGAGCUGCUACCACGGGCAAAGCUAAUAAUAAAUCGGUGGCAGCAGCAGCAACCAAAAAGGCGGAUGAGGAAGCCGUCAAGGCAGCAGAACUCGUUCAAGUGACAGUUCCGCCAUCCGAUUCCCAGCCAGAGUCUAAGGAAGUGGUGAACGUCAAAGUUGAAGAAAGCCACCAUCCCACAGCUGUUGAAACGCUUCCGGCUGCCGGCUGCGAGACCGAAAUGAUUUCGAUGACGGACGCUACUGCGUCCGAUGAUGCUCUGGAUGUUGAAAUUCUUCCUCCCGUCACCACCACCAACAAUGACGUGGCUGUCGUUUCCACUCCGUCGGAAGUGUCGAACGCCGAGGGACAAGUCUCCGUCGACUCGAUUCCGUCCGGAGCGACGACUCCAUCGGAGACGGGCUUGGUAUCUGGCGAUUCGGUUCCUUCGUCGUUGACGUCGCGUAAAAUCAUUUCGUCUGAAGAGGAGGCCAAAGCGGCCCUGGCCGAAAAGCGGCGCCUGGCCCGCGAGCAGAUGGAUUGGGUCGAGCAACAACGAGAGCGGCAACGAGCUCAACAACGCUGUGAGCAGCGACCAGUCAGCCAGUGACGUGACUAGCGUCGGGAUGAUGAACAACAGCAUCAACGACAACAACAGCAACGGGCAAUCGUCUUUGUCGCCCGACGACGACUCGCUGAUGGAUGAUGACACCACCAAGCAGAAGAACAAUGGCUUCCACCUCCACCACAAUCACCAUCACAACAACCAACAUAUCGACGCGACAGAUUCCUCCUCCUCCCUAGCCAGCACCACCAGUGAUUUACCAGACAUCUCGAACGUCACAGCCAACGCUGACAGACAGCGUCAACUCGAUUGCCAGUACUAACAACAUAACCGCCGAAGUCGAGCCCGUCGAAUUUUUAGCUUGAAAAGUUGACUUUCGGCUGUAAUCCCCCAUUUCCUCCUUUUUCUUUAUUUUUGGUCCUUCCUUAUUUUUUCCUUUUUUUGAUUUUUUUUUAAAACGUCGUUUAUCCAUUUCUUAAUAUUCUUGCUAGAGAAAGAAGCUCAGCGCGCUGGGGUUUAGACGGAUCAAUCACGGCCAUCGUUUUCCUCGAUUUUCUUUUUUUUAACCAAAAAAAAAGAAUUAUUUAAAAGUGAAGAAAAAUCAAAUGUAGAUGAUCGCUUCUUCUUCGCAUCGAAAGGAAAAGUCCUUGUUUGUUUGUUUACUUUUCAACUUGUAACCAUCUAUUUCUACAUAAUUUUUUUGUAUUGUAUUCCACAUUUUUCUUGGUCGUGGGCUUUAAUAGUGAAACUGAAAGAAAAGGAGUUUUCUUCACGAGGAAAAUUGUGCGAGGAAAAGUUGCAGCUGGUUAAUGUUUUCUUCUAUUUUUCUUUUUCGUCUUUCGAAUCGCGGUCGAUGAGUUUUUAACUAUCUAUCUAUCGAUGUUUUUUUUUCUUGCUGCUUUUACUUCUCUGCUUAUUUGUAAUGCACCUUAAUUUUAAACAAGCUCUGGUCAAGACCGUUCAUAAUAGUUGGAUUAUUUUAUUGUCUUUUUACGGCCAUUAGCGAGUUACUGAACAUCUUAUGCUUUGGGGAUUUAAAAAAAAAAAACAAAUAUCACAACAACAAUCGAGUCAAGCUGACAAUGCAGCAAUCCGGCCAAAAAAGUGUGUUGCAAUUUUCAACACUAGAUGGCGAUUGGUAUUGUUCACUCGCGGCGAACAAAUCUAAUGAUGCUUAGUUCGUUCUCUCUGUUCGAUUUUCCUACUUCCUAGUAUUAGCAUGGUGUUAGUAACCCAGAGUAGUAACCAAAUUCAACAUAAUUUGAUACACAAGGAAAUCCUUAAGUGUAAUGUGUCUAGAGUGAUUGUUGUUAAUGUUAUAUCUCUCUGUAUUACAUAUUGUGCCUGUUGUUGUCUCAUCAGGUGACAUUCAUUGGAUAGUUGUUGACAUAUCCAGUUUACAAAUUCCUGAGUACUUCAUAGUAACCACAACUUCAGCUUCAAUUUGAUUUGAUUUGAUGUUAAUUGAAGCUGAAGUUGUGGUUACUAUGAACUUCACAGUCGGAGUUUAGCCUAUCUGCAAAUGGCAAUGUUGCCCGUUCUUUUCAAGAUGGCGGCUGGAAUUCGACACGAGAAUCGACAGCAUUCAGGAGUGAUGGCUUUUCCCGGCUGAGUCUAGCUUAGAGAGUUUUGGCUUGCUCUUCCUGAGAUUUGGCAAUGCGAUUUUUCGAAGGAAUUGUGCUUGUCACAUGUUUGGUGUGUAUUCUAGUCCAGCAUGCUAAAUGAUUAUUCCUGACUGGAGAUUUUUGUGGUGUUGUGGAAGUGUGGACUACAGAAGCAGAUUGCUGAUUCAAAUGUGUUCUUGCAUUUCUUCUGUUGUGGUUUCACAGCCAGGUGAAGUCUGAGCUUCUUCAAUGCUGUCUAUUGUGCUCAUGGUUUUGUUGCAGCCAGCUGAUGAUUGGUGUUAUGAGCUGCUGCAUGCAGUCCAUCGUGCUGGUGUGGUGAGCUGCUUCUAUCCAGUCUGUGGUGCUGGUGUUAUCCUUAAUUGUUGGCUCUAGAUUACUUACACGAUUUUGGAUUGUGGUGUUUGUGGUAGUAUAAAUAGUGCUGUACUGCUGUUCAUAAAUAGUAAAAGUUAUUGCAAACUGAUAUCAUGGUUUACAAAUUCUUAUCUAUGUAAUGGUGUUUGGUUUUACGCUGAAGAUUGCUUAGUGAAAUAACGAAAAAUAAAUAACAUGAAGAUUAA